GCCUUCGUGGUGUAGUGGUCUGCAUGAUCGACGCGUAACCGAGAGGUCCGUGGUUCGAUUCCCGGCGAAAGCU
rnacentral:tRNA from 1 species